CUGAGCGGCGCUCCCAGGCGGCCGGUAGGCAGGAGGAUCCCAUGACUUUGACAGCUGCUCCCAACAGUCUCUCAAGAUAAGUUCACUUCCUAAUCCUGCCCUGGAAAGACACUUUGGAAUUGUGUUGGUUUGUUUUGCUAUUUUAGACGCAGUGCGUAAACGUCAGUGCGUGUGCACCAAACGCAUCCAUCAGUCGUCAAAAGUCAAGCGUGGCUAGUUUAAAAUCAAUCCAAAAUGUUUUCACAAUAAAAGUAGCUAUUCAUGAACAUCUUGGUCGAAAUUAAACAUCCGGUUAAUGAUAUCACUGAGCAAAACAAAUACAAAAAUAGUAUGAUUUAAGGUUAAAAUGUCCUCCUGUCAGGUUAUUCCAUGAAGGCUGCCUAAGACGAUGUGAGUCUCUACUUGUGCUGGCAUCUGCAAGACCCGGAAGACUUGCUGUGAUAAAUGGAACCAUAAAUUCUGCUGUCACCAUCUGUUUGUGACCUCAAGCUGAAAGCAACUUGGCUUCUGCAGCACGACAAUGACCCAAAACACACAAGUUGAACUGGACAUGGAGGGUGCCCUCACUGCGAGGGCCCAGGUUGGUAUUCAGGACUUUGUCCUUUUGGAUGAAACCACAGAGGCAGCUUUCCUCAGCAACCUGAAGAAACGCUUCAGCAAGGAUCUCAUUUAUACCUACAUUGGAACUUUACUGGUGUCUGUAAAUCCCUAUAAAGAAUUGGAUAUCUUCAAUAAGCAACAGAUGGAUGUGUACAUGGGGGUCAACUUCUUUGAGCUUCCACCGCACAUUUAUGCUUUGGCAGACAACGCCUACCACGCCAUGCUGGCUGAGUUCAGCAAUCACUUCAUCCUCAUCUCAGGGGAGAGCGGAGCAGGGAAGACGGAGGCCUCCAAAAAGAUUCUACAGUAUUACGCAGUCAGCUGUCCAAGCACCGCUCUACUAAACACUGUCCGAGACAAGAUGCUCAUGUCUAACCCUGUCCUGGAGGCUUUUGGGAAUGCCAAAACACUAAAGAAUGACAAUUCAAGUCGCUUUGGGAAGUAUAUGGACAUUCAAUUCAAUAGUGAGGGUGAUGCAGUUGGCGGCCAUAUCCUGAACUACCUGCUGGAGAAGUCAAGGGUGGUACAUCAGAAUCACGGCGAAAGAAACUUCCAUAUAUUCUAUCAGCUCCUGGAGGGAGGAGAUGAUGACCUUCUGCACCAGCUGGGCCUGGAGAGGGACUGCCAGCGUUACAGCUACCUCACACAAGGAGAGUGUGCCAUCGUGCCUUCCAUCGAUGACCGCAGCAACUGGAAGUCAGUUAAAAAUGCUCUUCAAGUCAUUGACAUUGAUGCAGUCAACACAAAUGACUUAUUUGGGAUUGUUGCAAGUGUUCUUCACCUGGGUAAUGUUAAAUUUGACUCUGACAGUAAAGGUCAGGCCGCACUUAACACCAACAACGCAGAGCUACGCUGGGUCUCAAAUCUUCUUGGAGUUGAUGCUCACAAUCUCCGAGAAGGUUUAACAUACAGGAAGAUUGAAGCCAAAACAGAUCAGGUGCUCACCCCGUUUACAAUGGAUCAUGCUAUCUAUGUGAGAGAUGCCCUGGCCAAGGCCAUCUAUGGACAUACCUUCACCUGGCUGGUCAACAGGAUCAAUGAGUCCAUGGAGAACACUGAUCCUUCAAAGAAAACAGUGAUUGGCCUUUUGGACAUCUAUGGCUUUGAGGUUUUUAAUGUUAACAGUUUUGAGCAGUUCUGCAUAAACUACUGCAAUGAGAAGCUGCAGCAACUUUUCAUCCAACUCACACUCAAGGCAGAGCAGGAGGAAUACGAAGCAGAGGGUAUUGAGUGGGAGCCGGUGCAGUUCUUCAAUAACAAGAUCAUCUGUGACCUUGUCGAAGAGAAACACAGAGGAAUUAUUUCCACGCUGGAUGAGGAGUGUCUCAGGCCAGGAAACGCAACAGACCUCACCUUCCUGGAAAGACUGGAAGAGAAGAUGGGCAAUCACCCUCACUUUGUCUCACACAAGCUGGCUGACAAAAAGACACGCAGGACGCUGGAGAGAGGGGAUUUUCGUCUCUUGCAUUAUGCUGGAGAGGUCACCUACUGUGUUGUAGGUUUUCUGGACAAAAAUAAUGACCUCUUAUAUAGAAAUAUCAAAGAUCUGAUAUGUCAGUCUAAAAACGCCAUCGUCAGACAGUGCUUCACCUCCAUGGACCAAGAAAGCAGACGUAGACCGGCAACGGUGGCCACCCAGUUUAAGAGCAGCCUGCUGAAGCUGACAGAGAUCCUCAUGGCUAAAGAGGCCUGGUACAUACGUUGUCUUAAAUCCAAUGAGUCAAGAAUGCCAGGACAGUUUGAUGAAGGCCUGAUCAGACACCAGGUCAAGUAUUUGGGCUUGAUGGAGCACCUGAGAGUCAGACGCGCUGGUUUCGCUUACAGGCGAAAGUAUGAAAUCUUUUUACAGAGAUACAAAGCUCUGUGUCCGGCUACCUGGCCACACUGGAAUGGACCGCCUGCUGAUGGUGUGUUCGUGCUGGUUCAGCAUCUCGGCUAUUUUCCUAAUGAGUACAAAAUGGGAAGAACCAAAAUAUUCAUCCGCCAUCCAAGGACCCUUUAUGCCACAGAGGAUGCUUUUGAAAAGUGUAAACAUCAACUAGCAUCAAGACUCCAGGCUAAAUACAAAGGUUACAGGGCAAAGGGGGAGUUCAAAAAACAGAAGGAGGCUGCCACAAAGAUUGAGACUUGCUGGAGAGGAGUGCAGGCAAGGAAGGAGAGGGACAAGAGAGCCUGGGCUGUCAAAGUCAUCAAACAAUUUAUCAAAGGUUACAUGACCAGAGGGCAAGCAAAGGUCACGGAUAACUCGGAGUAUUUGGCCUUUGUGAGGCAGAACUACUUGAACAAGCUAAAGAACAACCUGCCAAAGACAGUUUUGGAUAAAACCACUUGGCUAGAUCCACCACAUGUGCUGACCGAGACAUCAGAAACACUGCGUAAACUGCAUUACAGACUCAUGGUGCGGAAGUAUGUAAGAGGAAUCACACCCCAGAAAAAAGCACAGUUUCAAAUGAAGCUCAUCGCCAGCGCUAUGUUCAAGGGGAAAAAAGACAGCUACCCACAAAGUGUCGCCUUCCCUUUUGCAGACACCAGAAUCAGUGAUGAAAGCAUAAAUCCCAGGGUCCUGCAGAUGAUUGGCAAUGAGAACAUCAAGUAUGGCGUCCCGGUGGUCAAAUACGACAGGAAUGGUUUCAAACCCAGGCCCCGACAGCUCAUCCUCACCAAGACUGCUGCCUAUGUGAUUGAGGAGGCGAGGAUCAAACAGAGGGUGUUGUAUACGAAUCUUAAAGGUGAGGAUGUAACUCCAUUUGCUAUUCUUCUAUGUGAUACACACACUACAGAUGUUUUCCUGUUGAACUCGGUGUCUUCCCAUUUCAGGGAUUUCAGUCAGUAACCUGACAGACAGCAUCAUUGUGUUGCAUAUAACAUGUGAGGACCCCAAACAAAAGCAUCCGGAUAGAAAUCCAGGGUGAUAAAGAGAACACUGUUGACUUUAGCACAGGCCAGGAGCCGAUGGUGUUCAAGGCCAAGAACGGACACCUCAUGGUGGUACGCACACUGUUGUCAUGACAACCUGAUGCACUAUGACCCCCAUAUCUUAUAUGUUUUUAUGUUCUAAAAAGCAUAAGUACUUGAAUCAGACAACUUUUGUGCAGGUUGCCACUCGGGCCAGGCCAAGGUAACAUGAGGGGUUGAGGAGACACUCAAGAAGCGCCUAAAUAUUUCAUCAUGAGACCCCAAAGUGGAGGAUUAGCAUGGCAACAGGAUACAUGAGACUGAAGCACUUUAGAAUGAGCCUGUUUGACAAAUUUUGGACAUUUCAAAUAGAGGUUUGAUGUCAUUCUAAGGUCAAAUAAUUUACAUCCCUUUCUAUAUACACCCACUAGCCGCAAUGUUGGUAUACAUUCCAAUCACUAUAGAAUCUAAUGAAAUCCAAUAUAAAAGCUGUACCACAAAUUUAGCUUUUACCAAGAUAUGCUCAUUUUUGAUAAACACUGACAAAGGGUUAUUCAUUUAAAAGCCUAUUUUUUAUUCUAAUUUGAAGUGAUGUAGAAUUACACUUCAUCAUACUGAGAGUUGCUGCUAUUAUUUUGCCUGAAUGUAGCUACAAAAGGAAGUCAAAUAUUAGGAACACCUGUAUUUCUGCCACUACAGUGUUAGUCAAAACUGACAUUUGUCUUUGUAAAGGCAUCAUUUUUAUACUGUUAAGUGUGUUGUGGCCAGUGACCAUGGGGCCCAAAUGCAGUAUAAUGAACAUGUUAUAAAAAAGGAACAAAUAUAUGUAUAUAAAUUUAUUUGAUAUAGAUCAUAUAUAAAUAUAAAACAUACAUAUAUGCUGACUUAUGUACAAUAGAGCUAGUAAUAUAGUGAUUGUAACUGUGUGCAAACCAAACAUUCUGAUAAUGCAGCAAUGGACAACUCUAAUUUCUCUCCCUGUUCAAAAAGCUUGUCAACAGGACUCAUUUGCUUCCAGGGAGAUCUCUGGUUACACUCAUUCACCCCAACCUCAGUAUCUAUCCAUCGGGUAUGUUUAACACCUCAGGUGACAAGUCAUGCUGCCUCCGUUGAAAAUAAUUAUUUUCUUGCAAAAAAAUAAACUCAAUAAAUGUUUAACCUAAAUAUGAUGGAAACACUAUAUGGAACUAUCACAUCCAUCUUAGAUGGACUGUAACAUAAUUGUAUUAAAUAAAAGGUUUUAUCAGGCUUCAUAAUGGUCCAGGUAACCUAAAAAUAAAACACUGCCACCUUGUGGCCUUGUGGCUUUUAACACUUGGCUCAUCCACUGAGUGAUCACAGUGGAUACCACUAAGCCAAAUAAAGAGGAGGAAAGAUUAUGUGCAGCUCAACGUAUCAUUCUUGCUCUCUUGGAUGUAGUGUUAGGACCACUUGUGACAAAUAUACAAACGAGACAUAUAGUUAGGCUGAAAUUAGACUGAACAAUCAUCUAUGAUUAUGAUGCUUCUGCACGCUAGCAGAGAACAGUGAGAUAAGUGAGCAACAAACACUGGUGUACUGGACCACAACACAAAAGAUAAAGUGGACUACUUCAAUCCACAUUAAAACAGCCUCCUGGUGAAGGACAUAAGAGGCGCUGUGGUGGCUGGUGUAAGGCACAGUUGUGGUGUAAAACCACGGCUAAGACAAGCAGAAGGUCACUGAUGGUGGUGUGUACGUGGUUGUCUGGUGGUAAUGAUAUGGAUCCUAGGUACAAUUAGUUCUUGCUCCUCAUCCUCGUCCAGGUGAUGGGAUCGUCCUGCAGCGCCCCCUGUUGCCUCUAGUAGAGCAUUGUCCGGCCCUCUCCCAUCAUGGGACUCGUACAGGAGGAUGUUGAGGGUCUCCUCAUAGAUGCGAGCCUCAGGGAACUCCACCUAGUGUACACGUGCAGAGGUCCACCACAAUUAAAGAGACCUGAUCCUGCUCAU